GCUCCGGUCGUCUAGCGGCCAAGGACGUCUGGUUCUCAACCAGAAGAUCGCAGGUUCGAAUCCUGUUCGGAGCACCA
rnacentral:tRNA from 1 species